rnacentral:rRNA from 1 species
GACGAACGCUGGCGGCGUGCCUAAUACAUGCAAGUAGAACGCACAGUUUAUACCGUAGCUUGCUACACCAUAGACUGUGAGUUGCGAACGGGUGAGUAACGCGUAGGUAACCUGCCUGGUAGCGGGGGAUAACUAUUGGAAACGAUAGCUAAUACCGCAUAAUAUUGAUUAUUGCAUGAUAAUUGAUUGAAAGAUGCUAUUGCAUCACUACCAGAUGGACCUGCGUUGUAUUAGCUAGUAGGUGAGGUAACGGCUCACCUAGGCGACGAUACAUAGCCGACCGGAUAGGGUGGUCGGCCGCACUGGGACUGAGACACGGCCCAGACUCCUACGGGAGGCAGCAGUAGGGAAUCGUCGGCAAUGGACGAGAGUCUGACCGAGCAACGCCGCGGGAGGGAAGAAGAUUGUCGGAUCGGAAAGCUCGGUUGUAAGAGAAGAACGGGUGUGAGAGUGGAAAGUUCACACUGUGACGGUAACUGACCAGGAAGGGACGGCUAACUACGUG